rnacentral:rRNA from 1 species
GAUGAACGCUGGCGGCGUGCCUAAUACAUGCAAGUCGAGCGAACAGAUGAGGAGCUUGCUCCUCUGACGUUGGCGGCGGACGGGUGAGUAACACGUGGAUAUCCUACCUAUAAGACUGGGAUAACUUCGGGAAACCGGAGCUAAUACCGGAUAAUAUAUUGAACCGCAUGGUUCAAUAGUGAAAGACGGUUUUGCUGUCACUUAUAGAUGGAUCCGCGCCGCAUUAGCUAGUUGGUAAGGUAACGGCUUACCAAGGCAACGAUGCGUAGCCGACCUGAGAGGGUGAUCGGCCACACUGGAACUGAGACACGGUCCAGACUCCUACGGGAGGCAGCAGUAGGGAAUCUUCCGCAAUGGGCGAAAGCCUGACGGAGCAACGCCGCGUGAGUGAUGAAGGUCUUCGGAUCGUAAAACUCUGUUAUUAGGGAAGAACAAAUGUGUAAGUAACUAUGCACGUCUUGACGGUACCUAAUCAGAAAGCCACGGCUAACUACGUG